rnacentral:rRNA from 1 species
GACGAACGCUGGCGGCAUGCCUUACACAUGCAAGUCGAACGGUAACAGGUCUUCGGAUGCUGACGAGUGGCGAACGGGUGAGUAAUACAUCGGAACGUGCCCGAGAGUGGGGGAUAACGAGGCGAAAGCUUUGCUAAUACCGCAUACGAUCUCAGGAUGAAAGCAGGGGACCGCAAGGCCUUGCGCUCACGGAGCGGCCGAUGGCAGAUUAGGUAGUUGGUGGGAUAAAAGCUUACCAAGCCGACGAUCUGUAGCUGGUCUGAGAGGACGACCAGCCACACUGGGACUGAGACACGGCCCAGACUCCUACGGGAGGCAGCAGUGGGGAGUUUUGGACAAUGGGCGCAAGCCUGAUCCAGCCAUGCCGCGUGCAGGAUGAAGGCCUUCGGGUUGUAAACUGCUUUUGUACGGAACGAAAAGACUCUGGUUAAUACCUGGGGUCCAUGACGGUACCGUAAGAAUAAGCACCGGCUAACUACGUGCCAGCAGCCGCCGUAACAC